AGUUUGUUCUCCAUCCAUUCCUCAGAGCGCCAGUCAUGUGACCAGGGGCAGAACUGGACAGAUACGUCUGUUCAACUGAUGCGUGGCAAUGAGUGAAUGCGUUUCUUAAUUAAAGUGUGUGAUAUGAAAUAAUUUUCCAAAUGUAUAAGUAACCAUACCAAAAAAUGUAUUGAUAUGAUUUCAAACACCUUUGAAGUCACGGUAAAUCAAGGCCUUGUUGCAGCAUGUGCCUUUCUUACUAAGUAAGAAAGUAACCUUUCUUACUAACGACAAUCUUGGUGUUAAUACUUUUUGAAUAUGAUUUUCAUGUGUUAUAUUCUCACAUCUUUAUCUCUGGAACAUACAUUGGUCAAUAUGGCGCAUAUGCUGUUGUAUGGACACAUAAAGGCAUUGUAAAGUGUAUGGGUAAAAUACCAUUUGUAUGAAAUAUAUACCAGAACAACCCAGAGCAUUCUAUUUGCCAUAAAAGGCUCUGGAUCAGUCUAUUUCCACAACCACUAUGCCUUUUCCACUAAUGUAUUACGCUAGUAGUAAUAUUAGCUUACAGCAUGUGGGCUAAGGCUGCAAGAAGAAUACAAUUGUAUUAUACAGAAGCCCAUCUCAAUAUAGCGCUAUAUCAAUAUAUUUGUACUCAUUUGCAUUUCUAUAUAUCAAUAUAUUUGUACGCAUUUCCAUUUCUAUCAGUAUAUAAAUGGAUAAGCUUUAUGCAAAUUCAGAAUCCGUUUCCGUUUAUAUUUCCUAUAAGGCCUAGCCGAAGUUAGAAUUGUCACUUGUUGACCAAAACAAUCUCUCGUGUCUCAAUCUCAAUCUCUUAUGGCUAAACAAUUUGGUGCAGGGCCGUAGCAUAGCAAGACUAGCGUCAGAUUGUAAUACUAUUGUGGGACACUCUGAAAAUGAAUAUUGCGUCCAACAUUCAAGGAAAUGGGACAUCUCUUGGAUAUUGUAAUACACAAAUAGCUUAAAGUGAAAUAGGGUUAAUAAUAAACGAAACUAUUGCACCUAGUGAGUGUACGAUACAUGAAUGGAAUGGCAGCAUACGCGCGUAAUGCAUUCUCUUUCCUAUCAUCUGCAUCAGUGGUCACGUUUUGCGCUGACAUCAGUGUUUUAAAAUGCAACAAUAGAGUUCAGGGUAUAGAGCACCAACCAACAAAAUCAGCUCGAGUCAGACAUGUUUUAUUGCACUUUGCAGUUGGCUGUGUAGUUGCCAUUGUCAGAACAGACAUGUGGGGACUGCUGCGGCCGGCGUGCUCACCAGACGACUAGAUGGCAUUCAUGAAGUUCAAUGAAACGAGACUCAAAACAAGGCUCCAGAUUGCAGUCAGUCUCGUUUUGUGUGCUGCAGAACUCAAGUUCGGGGGAGGAAAAGGGUCACCAUUUGAGAGAAAGAGGCCACAAACACCCCUGCCCUGUGCCCCGGAUGAAGUUCAUUAGUUUAUUACCGUGACAAAUGUCUCAAUGGUUCAUUCGCUUUAACUGUUUGAUAGGCCUAUUGCAGGUUUUCCCAAACUCGGUAUGAAACGCCUAUAAAUUCGAAUUAAACGUUGUCAACAAAUAAAAUAGGAUGCUAAACUUUACUUUUGAAAAAUAAAUGACAUGAAAAAUAUAGCUAUUUGAUACGAGUUGUUUGUUUUACCUUUUUUGUUCAGAUGUAACAUGGCUGAUCAACAAAUGGGUGGUCACUUUCAAGAUGAACACAUAUACUCCACCAAGCUCAUCAACAAGGAUAUAUGCCAAAGAUAUUGGUGAAUUUCUCAAAUGUUGCAGUGAUUUGACAUGUUUAGCUAAAUUAUGGUGUUUUCGAUGACUUUUCCAAUCUAGCAGAAUGAAAUAAGCCUAUACCCAUAGCCACGAAGGCAGUUUUUAAAAUGGAAUGGUCUCGUUAAGAACUCGUCAACAUGUGAGAGGCAGGUGUUAUAGAACAAGUGGUAACUUAGUUAUGUAUCUUACACGCUCCAUUGCCAUUGACUUUAAAUAGAAAACAUUUGUACUUUACCACUACUUGGGUGUGAGCCAUUUUUCCACUGGCGCGCCCUCAUAUUUAUGCCAUUUAGAUGUUGUUUUUCUGUAUAGGCGCUAUAGGCUUUACUGCCUUUAACGAGCAUUUCUUCAGGCUGGGGGGAGUUUAGCCUAUAUCUCUACGACACAAGUGCCUUGCACUUGGAUAUGUGGAACAUCACAGCUUAAUGUCUCUCUAUACUGCCUCUUUACAGUAGAUGAGAUGGGUGGCGGGAACAUUACAGCUUUAUGUCUGUCUCUAUAAUGCCUCUUUAGAAGAGACGGCUGACAGCAGGAGAAGCAUAGCACAGAGGAGGAGAAAAUAAACAUCAUAGACCUAAUCUCAUCUCUAAAGACAUCAUGAUAAAAGAAGACGUACGCCAAGAGAUGCUUAUAUGGAAGAUGUACGGCAAGAAGUGCUUAUGGAAACGAAAAGGGAGGAACCGAGUAUGCUUUAGUUGGCGGUGCCAUAAGAACCCUGGAUGCAUUGGAUAUGUUGUUGAACAAGCGGAAGUCCCAUCACCAUCCUCCUAAAAGUCUCGGAUAGUUUAAGGACAUACUGCAGUGAAGAGUCAUGGAAGCAAGAUUUAAAACACAGCUUUGUGUGUGGGACGAACCAUUCAACAUGUGAACCCCUUAGAUAUUAUUUACUUGAGUUAUAAGGUUAGAUUCGUUGUAAUAAUGACGUCAUAUUUGUAAUAACACCAUUAACUACAAUUCUUUCUUAUUAUAGACUAUUAUUAUUAUUAUUAUUACUACAGUUACUAUUAGUAAAUAGCAGUAUAGUUCUUGCAGGCAUACUUGUUAUUUUAUUACCAUAACUAAUUAUAAUGAUAAUGACUAUACACUCAGGAAAAAAAGGCGGAUUCUAGAACUUAUGGGUUCUUCGGCUGUUCCCAUAGGAGAACCCUUCAAAUAUAACUAUUUUUUGUUCCAGGUAGAACCCCUUUGGGUUCCAUGUAGAGUCCUUUCUAUAGAGGGUUCUACCUGGAACCAAAAAGUGUUCUCCUAUGGGGACAGCCGAAGAAGCCUUUUCGAACCAUUUUUUCUAAGAGAGUAUUGUGUAGCAUUGCAUUUGAUCAUUUGGUCGACUGGGGCCUACUUUGAGUAAAACGUCACAUUUUAAAAACGGAAAUGUGUCUGGACCCCGGAGCCAUUUAAUUGCAUGGUGAAGCACCGUUAACAGUCAUUACAAUAGUUAUGUUUUGGGGUUGGUGUUGGAAAUUGGACAAUAACUAAUGUGCUGAAUAUUGUAAUUGAAUCCAUUGAAAGUCCAGGCUGUAAGGCAACAUGUUUAAGCAGGAUUCUUUCUAUGGGUACUGUACAUGUCCAAGGCAAGCAUACUGACGUUUACAACAGUUAUUUAAACGAGUAUGUAUAUUUCAUUCAAUUAAAUUGAUGUGUACGGACUUGC